rnacentral:rRNA from 1 species
UACGGAGGGUGCAAGCGUUAUCCGGAUUUACUGGGGUUAAAGGGUGCGUAGGCGGGCCUGUAAGUCAGUGGUGAAAUCUUCCCGCUUAACGGGAAAACUGCCAUUGAUACUAUAGGUCUUGAAUUCAGUUGAGGUGGGCGGAAUGUGUCGUGUAGCGGUGAAAUGCGUAGAUAUUGGGAGGAACACCAGUGGCGAAGGCGGCUACCUGGACCGGUUCUGACGCUGAUGCGCGAAAGCGUGGGGAGCAAACAGG